rnacentral:rRNA from 1 species
UACAGAGGUCUCAAGCGUUGUUCGGAUUCAUUGGGCGUAAAGGGUGCGUAGGCGGCGCGGUAAGUCGGGUGUGAAAUCUUGGAGCUUAACUCCGAAACUGCAUUCGAUACUGCCGUGCUUGAGGACUGGAGAGGAGACUGGAAUUUACGGUGUAGCAGUGAAAUGCGUAGAGAUCGUAAGGAAGACCAGUGGCGAAGGCGAGUCUCUGGACAGUUACUGACACUGAGGCACGAAGGCCAGGGGAGCAAACGGG